rnacentral:rRNA from 1 species
GAUGAACGCUGGCGGCGUGCCUAAUACAUGCAAGUCGAGCGAACGGACGAGAAGCUUGCUUCUCUGAUGUUAGCGGCGGACGGGUGAGUAACACGUGGAUAACCUACCUAUAAGACUGGGAUAACUUCGGGAAACCGGAGCUAAUACCGGAUAAUAUUUUGAACCGCAUGGUUCAAAAGUGAAGGACGGUCUUGCUGUCACUUAUAGAUGGAUCCGCGCUGCAUUAGCUAGUUGGUAAGGUAACGGCUUACCAAGGCAACGAUGCAUAGCCGACCUGAGAGGGUGAUCGGCCACACUGGAACUGAGACACGGUCCAGACUCCUACGGGAGGCAGCAGUAGGGAAUCUUCCGCAAUGGGCGAAAGCCUGACGGAGCAACGCCGCGUGAGUGAUGAAGGUCUUCGGAUCGUAAAACUCUGUUAUUAGGGAAGAACAUAUGUGUAAGUAACUGUGCACAUCUUGACGGUACCUAAUCAGAAAGCCACGGCCAACUACGUG